rnacentral:rRNA from 1 species
CAAAGGGCGCAUGGGGGAUGUCUAGGCAUCAGGAGGCUUUGAAGGGCGCGGAAGACUGCGAUAAGCCCGGGGUAACCGUCAAACAGGUGAUGAUCCCGGGAUUCCCGAACUGUCCGUGGUUGAAUCCAUAGAUCACGGUCGCCAACGCGGAGAACUGAAACAUCUCAGUACCCGGAGGAAAGGACAUCAAUUGAGACUCCGUU